rnacentral:lncRNA from 1 species
AGAUAUAUGAUUAUAUGCAUCUCAUUUCCUUUCUCAAAAUACUAAAAAAGUUCUGAAUAAAGAUGCUAAGAAAAUGAAAUAUGUUAUAGAUAUAAAAAUCUCUGUAAAGCUUACAUACGAUAAUUAUUGACCCAUUUCUGUAUGGGACACAAAGCCUAGAAACAAAUAAAUAUAAAAUAAUAACUUCUCAAUUGUGAUUAAUCUAAAACAUGCAAGAUGAUCCAAAAAAAAACAAAGGAACAUUAAUUCAUCUCUACCUCCUGUACGAUAUCUCUAGUCUCUACACAAUUCUAGGUAUAUAAUUUGUGAUAUUGUCACAGAAAAUAUCCAAAAAAUAUGCUUAUAGCAGAAGAGAAAAGAUGCUGCAAUUGCAAAGCCUAUGCAACAGGAAAGGAGAAGAAAGAAAAAGGAGAUAUAUUAUCUGAACUUUGAGUUCUUUUGUACGUAGCUGGUCUUCUCUAUCAUCGCUUGUUGUGUAAUGGGUUUGACCCUGUUGGAACUCUUCUCUUCUCCUGAUCAAACUCCCUUGCUUGGCCUGAAAAGGGUGAAGUACUACUUGACCCUGGAUGAAAACCCUGUUGUCCGGCACGUUGUCUGGUACCUUUGGCUGAAGGGUCAGAUGCAAGGACGUUCCUCCAGAUUGCUUGGGUCUUGGGAGUAAAAAGAAGGAGAAUAAAAACAAGGGAGCAAAGCUGAAAGCGAUUCAUCUUUUCUUUGAGAGAGAUUUUUUUUUACCAGUUUUCUAUGAGAGAUGUGGAGAUAUGGAAAUGCAGUCAUAGCCUAGCCAGAUUGUUAUUGUAUAUAUGG